rnacentral:lncRNA from 13 species
UGAUUAAAAAUCCAUUUCACUCCAAGAGUGAAAAAAAAUAUUUUUAUCACUAGGAAUUUGAUGUUCUGCAAAGAAUACAGUUUUGUCAGCAAUAAAGUGGUGCAUUUCAUAUAAUUGUGUGCUUUUGCAGCUCACAAAGCAAGCACAGUGGUUUUGUCAGUGAGACCCAAGUCAUCAGCAACUUCAUUCAUUAUGCGGCUGGUGAAAGAGACAUUCAAAGAGGUGAAACAAUUUGCCCAUGUACACACAACCAGCAAAUUGCAGAGCCAGACUAAUGUCAAAAGUAGAAGAUCACUGACUGCUGGGUGAAAAUAUACAAGUGAUGGGGUCUCACUUUGUUGCCCAGGCUGGUCUCCUCAUACUUGUGAAUGCAAGCAGUUAACCCACCUCGGCCUUCCAAAGUGCUGGGAUCACAGGCAUGAGCCACCCCACGCAAAAACAAGGUACUUUUAUAAAUUCAUGAAUAUGGGAUGUCUUUGCAUUUGUUUCUGUCUUUUCAAUUUCUUUCAUCAGUGUUUCAUGGUCUCACUCAUAUGUGGAAUCUGAAAAUGUUGAUCUCAUAAAAAUAGAGAGUAGAAUGGGGGUUACCAGAGGCAUGGUGUUCAGUGUGAAUGAAAGGAUAAGGAAAUGUUAGUCAAAUAAUAUAUAGAGAUAGAUAGUAAUAGUAAGUUCGUGAGAUCUAUUGCACAGCAUGGUGAUUAUAAUUAAUGAUGAUAUAUUGUAUUCUUGAAAAAUCCAAAGAUGGUGAAUGUUUAGUGUUCUCACUACUUAAAAAAAGGUAACUCUAUGAGGUAACACAUUUGAUAAUUAGCUAGAUUUAAUUAUUGCACUAUGGAUAUAUUCUUCAAAGCAUCAUAUCAUACAUGAUAACUACAUACCAUUUUAUCUAUUAGUUUUAAGAGACAUGUAAGUACAAAAGAAAGGAAAGAAGACAUU